UAGAGAGUUGAUCCGGGUCAGAGUGAACGCUGGCGGCAGACGUAACACACACAAGUCUGACGGUAGCACAGAGGAGCUUGCUCCUUGGGUGACGAGUGGCGGACGGGUGAGUAAUGUCUGGGGAUCUGCCCGAUAGAGGGGGAUAACCACUGGAAACGGUGGCUAAUACCGCAUAACGUCGCAAGACCAAAGAGGGGGACCUUCGGGCCUCUCACUAUCGGAUGAACCCAGAUGGGAUUAGCUAGUAGGCGGGGUAAUGGCCCACCUAGGCGACGAUCCCUAGCUGGUCUGAGAGGAUGACCAGCCACACUGGAACUGAGACACGGUCCAGACUCCUACGGGAGGCAGCAGUGGGGAAUAUUGCACAAUGGGCGCAAGCCUGAUGCAGCCAUGCCGCGUGUAUGAAGAAGGCCUUCGGGUUGUAAAGUACUUUCAGCGGGGAGGAAGGCGAGAUGGGUAAUAACCCUGUCGAUUGACGUUACCCGCAGAAGAAGCACCGGCUAACUCCGUGCCAGCAGCCGCGGUGUACGGAGGGUGCAAGCGUUAAUCGGAAUUACUGGGCGUAAAGCGCACGCAGGCGGUCUGUUAAGUCAGAUGUGAAAUCCCCGGGCUUAACCUGGGAACUGCAUUUGAAACUGGCAGGCUUGAGUCUUGUAGAGGGGGGUAGAAUUCCAGGUGUAGCGGUGAAAUGCGUAGAGAUCUGGAGGAAUACCGGUGGCGAAGGCGGCCCCCUGGACAAAGACUGACGCUCAGGUGCGAAAGCGUGGGGAGCAAACAGGAUUAGAUACCCUGGUAGUCCACGCCGUAAACGAUGUCGACUUGGAGGUUGUUCCCUUGAGGAGUGGCUUCCGGAGCUAACGCGUUAAGUCGACCGCCUGGGGAGUACGGCCGCAAGGUUAAAACUCAAAUGAAUUGACGGGGGCCCGCACAAGCGGUGGAGCAUGUGGUUUAAUUCGAUGCAACGCGAAGAACCUUACCUACUCUUGACAUCCACGGAAUUUGGCAGAGAUGCUUUAGUGCCUUCGGGAACCGUGAGACAGGUGCUGCAUGGCUGUCGUCAGCUCGUGUUGUGAAAUGUUGGGUUAAGUCCCGCAACGAGCGCAACCCUUAUCCUUUGUUGCCAGCGAUUCGGUCGGGAACUCAAAGGAGACUGCCGGUGAUAAACCGGAGGAAGGUGGGGAUGACGUCAAGUCAUCAUGGCCCUUACGAGUAGGGCUACACACGUGCUACAAUGGCGCAUACAAAGAGAAGCGACCUCGCGAGAGCAAGCGGACCUCACAAAGUGCGUCGUAGUCCGGAUCGGAGUCUGCAACUCGACUCCGUGAAGUCGGAAUCGCUAGUAAUCGUGGAUCAGAAUGCCACGGUGAAUACGUUCCCGGGCCUUGUACACACCGCCCGUCACACCAUGGGAGUGGGUUGCAAAAGAAGUAGGUAGCUUAACCUUCGGGAGGGCG
rnacentral:rRNA from 1 species